rnacentral:lncRNA from 10 species
GUGCCAUCUUUACCUAUGUGAUUAAGACCAUAGUUACUGGGCACCAGACCCUGUGCCCACUUUGCCUAGGAUUUCCCCCAGGCCCUGCCCUUCCUCUGCCCCUCAGCUCCAACUCACAUCCUGGAAGGUGUGCAUGGUGACAAUGAUCUCAUUGGUUAGUGCUGAACAGUCCUCAUUCUCAUCGGCUAUAAAGAGAAGGUGACAGCGUGGCCAGUGAGUGAGGAAACGGCCUGGGGUAAGAGCAGGAGAAGGUAAGGGACUCUAUAGUAAGACUUGGGAAAUCUGAGGAAGCUGGGGUCCAACACUCCAUUUUUCUCUCUGCAAAGAUCUGUGUGGCUCCUGGCCUUUCAGGGAAGGUCUGUGUGCAUGGCUGCAUGGGGGUCUGCAGAGCUCCAGGGUUACUGGGAGGGAAGGAGAGGAGACAGGAUGGGAAAAGAGAGGGGAGGAGGUACACACAGGGCUCCCGGACUACCUGCUUUUCUCCGGAAGCAGAAGGAGCGGAAGGGGCACUUUCCAUGCCAGAUGUGGAGAUGGGGAACCAGCUGGCAACUGCUGUCAUCCACAUUCUCCCAACCUGAUGUGGUGACCUAAUGUACAGUCUGACCAACUGUAUGCGGAGAUGAGAGCCAGGAGCUGUUACCUGGUGGGAUGAGCAAGGAGAUGCCUGUAUCCUGGAGCAUCAGGCAACCGCCGCGGUGAUCCACCUCUCGAGCCGAAAACACCAACAGUU